AUUGAACGCUGGCGGCAGGCCUAACACAUGCAAGUCGAGCGGCAGCGGGAAAGUAGCUUGCUACUUUUGCCGGCGAGCGGCGGACGGGUGAGUAAUGCCUGGGAAAUUGCCCAGUCGAGGGGGAUAACAGUUGGAAACGACUGCUAAUACCGCAUACGCCCUACGGGGGAAAGCAGGGGACCUUCGGGCCUUGCGCGAUUGGAUAUGCCCAGGUGGGAUUAGCUAGUUGGUGAGGUAAUGGCUCACCAAGGCCACGAUCCCUAGAUGGUCUGGGAGGAUGAUCAGCCACACUGGAACUGAGACACGGUCCAGACUCCUACGGGAGGCAGCAGUGGGGAAUAUUGCACAAUGGGGGAAACCCUGAUGCAGCCAUGCCGCGUGUGUGAAGAAGGCCUUCGGGUUGUAAAGCACUUUCAGCGAGGAGGAAAGGUCAGUAGCUAAUAUCUGCUGACUGUGACGUUACUCGCAGAAGGAGCACCGGCUAACUCCGUGCCAGCCGCCGCGGUAAUAC
rnacentral:rRNA from 1 species